UUCUCUUUCUGCUAGUUUGUUAUUAGUGUUUAGAAAUGCAACUGAUGUUUGUAUGUGGAUUUUGUACCCUGCAACUAUACUGUAUUCAUUAAUUAUUUCUAAUAGUUUUUUCCUGGAUUCUGUAGAGUUUUCUAUAUUUGGAAUUAUGUCCAAAAAAUCUAAAAAUACUGAGUUAAACACUUUGUCAAAGAAGUGCUUGUUUUCUCAUUUCCUAAAGCGGAAGUUUAUGACAGAGAAAAAUAUGCCGUGUAGUAAAAGACAUUUCAGCUUUUUAUGAGCUGGCUUUUCACAUUCCUUGUUUGUCCUUUUAAUUUGUUUCUUGAUAUAUGAAGACUAUAAACUUGAAACUAAGAGUUAGCUAUCAGAUCUUGAUAAUAAUAUUAUAAUUGGAGAAACAUAAUAGAAAAAAUAGAUACUUUAUGAUAUUGUGAUAAUUCUGAUGAUCUGAAGACAAUGUCUUGGAAAGUUACAUUUACAUUUCAGGCUCUUGGAUGUCAAUUACUUACAAUAACAUUAAGAUAGUAUUAUUUUUAAUUGCUACAAAGUGGUAAGCUUUUUAUUUAAACAUCCAGCAAGGAGAAAGAAGGCAUUUUGUUAUUAUAAACACACACUUCCCAAAGUAAAUAGUCUUUCAAAAUAACAGGCAUGCCAAGUCUUAGUGAGUUUUGUUAAACCUCCUUAACUGUCUGCCGUGCCCCCGACUUCUUUCAAAUGGAUGUGCAUGGAUGUGGAAAACAAUCCAUUUAUUAUACAUGCCUCAUCUUUACCCUUUAGGAUCCUACCAAAUGUGUUUUACCUGGUACUGUUUAUUAAAGAUGGAAGCUGUCUUGAUUUAGAGACAAUUCAUGUAAGGUAGGUUAAGCAGUCAAAUAUUUCUUGAGGCUUAUGUUCAGCACCUCAGCCACCUACUGAGAAGUUAAUUAAUUCAGUCCAAAAUGAAAUUAUAGGGCAGUUUAGUGCUGUUUGUGUUAAAUGCCAUUGGAAUAUAAUCACCUGUGUUACCAUGAAUGAGGAACAACUGUAUUAGACAGAGGUGGAAUGCUGCACAGGAACAAGAAGAGAAGUGCUUUGGCAGGAAGAAUAUCUGUCCCUGUGGUCAGAAUUUAUCAAAACUCAUUGUCUUUUUAAAGAGUGAAUUAUUGAAUGGUAAGUAGACUUUAACUGAUGACCACUCAUAUUCUAGUAGUUUUCUUCAGUGUUCUAUUAGUCUUAAUCUAUAAUAUAGAUAGAGUUGACUUUUUUGCACUUACUUUUCAAAAACAUUACUAUUUUUAAACGUUUACCUGUAACUGCUUCAUUCUUAAUAAUAGUUAUGUGAAAAUGGUUUAUUCUGGAUCAUGCGUAUUCUUAGUUAACACUAGAAAAGAUGUUACUUUUGAAUUUAUUUUUUAUUUUUUUGUGAAGAAGAAUGGCCCUGAGCUAACCAUCUGUGCCAAGCUUCCUCUAUUUUGUCUGUGGGACACCGCCACAGUAUGGCUUCAUGAGCAUUGUGUAGGUCCUCACCUGGGAUCCAAACCCGGGGCUGCCAAAAGGAAGUGUGUGAACUUAACCACUACACCACCAGGCUGACCCACUUUUGAAUUUUUAAAACACAAGAUUUCGUUUGAAAAUAGGGUGUGUUACUUUCUAUGCUUGUAUAAUUGGCAUUGUUUGUAAUUUUUAUUUUUUAAUUAAAUGUGAGUCAAGCCUCUAGAUUGAAAAGUAUUAUGUAUGUAUUUUUUAAAGUACCAAAGAUUGGUAAAGGAGCCAAGGUCAUUUGAUAAAACUUCUGCACAUUAAAAGAACUAGUUCAUGAAGAACUUUUUUAGCUUUUUUCCUUAGGUACCCCCUCUGGGCAUUCUGAUAGAAGUAAACAGUGUUGUGAAAUCAGUUUAAUCAGGGAAAGACAUAACCAAGAACUGGUGUCAGUCAUUAUAAGACUAAUAUUUGAUAGCCUUGGUAUAACUAACAUUUAUUAAAAUGUUUGCAUGUAAUCCUUAUUACAGUGUACUCUUUUAAAAAUCCAUUCAUGUAAACUUAGUUUUACGUUUGAUACAGAAUUUCUCCAGAGCUUAAGUCGCUCUAAUAACAAAUUAGGGCCCUAGGAUACUCUGUUGCUGUUAGCUACAAGAAGACUCUUUAUUUUAAUGCACCUCCCUCACUACUUAAUUUUUUCCCAUGGAGCACCUCAGGGGAGGAGGAGAGAAAGAGGAAUCCUCGCUCAAUUAUAUUAUUUCAACAUUUUAUUCCUAAAUCUGGAGUGUGACCAGAAAUAUUUCACAUUUCUUUUCAAAAACACUUGCCUUUCUCUAAGGAGAGAAGCCUACUAAUCAAUGUGCGCAAAUAAACAAAGCACCUUAAGGUUCAAUUAACAAAAAAUAAACUAUUACAGAAAUGUUAACAAACAUUUUUAUUUGUUUAAAUAUAGGAAAAAAUACCAAUCCCAGCAUGUUUGAUAAUUAGAAAGCUAGGCAAAAUUAUUCUAAAUCUUACUGAAAAUUGUGUUUUCAAUUGCAACAGUUUGCUUUGAGAAAUAUGGUAAUCUCUUAAUGUAACUACUGAAGGAGAGAAAGAGUGAUAAGAUCUUGUAAAUAUAUAAUUAUGCUGUGUCAUAAACACAUUUCAAGAUAGCAAAAUAGAUUGUUUUGUUGCAAAUGGAUACUUUUUUGAGUGUGGUAUCAAGUUAUUUUUUAUGUUUGUUUACUCAAAAGAAAAUUUUUGUUUUUGUUUUUGCGAAUAGAUACAUUUUUGUUGAAUUUAGCCAUCUUAAUAAACAUAUAUUUUAACUUAAUUGGUUGUAGCUAUUUUAACUUUGUAUUGAAGAUGAGAAAAGGUAUUAAGAAGAGUUAGUCAUCUACGUACCUCAAGUAUUAAAACAUGUUUUAUAUAUAUAAAACUACAGAUACAUACAUACAUAUACAUAUAUGUACAUUUAAGUCUUCAAUCCAUAUAUUUUCAGUUAGUUGUAAAGGAUUCCUUUAAAAUGUGCUGCCAGUGCUUGCAGAGUGAAAGUCCAGGCCCCUUCCACAGCUCACAGGAAGCGUCACAGCCGCCUCCGACCUGCCACACCCUUCACGGCCCUUCACUCUCGUGGCUCUCAUGUUUUGGACAUUGCCUCAACAAUCUGUGUGGUUUCUGCUUGCUCAUCAUUUUCUUAUGCUAUCCUCUCUUUGCCUAGAAUAUUCCUUCCUCCCUCUCUUCUUCAUACAAUGUCCCCUCGACCCACAGUCAGCAAAUUUUAUUCAUUCUUCAGAAUGGUAGCACCUCUAAAUGGGCCCACACUUUGUGCCCUCCUCAGCCUCUCCACCUAGGUAGAGUUAUAUGCCUUCCUUUGUGCCUCAUAGAUCCCUCUAUUUAUAGCCUAAGCCUUUGUUCAUAUUUUUGUCUUCCUCUGUGUAUUAGUUUUGUGCAUUUGUCCCCUGUAUAACAAAUUACCAUAAACUUAUGAACUUAAAACGACACCAUUCCUCAUCUCAUGUUUCUUUAGCUCGGAAGUCUGGAUGAGCUCCAAUGGAUUCUCUGCUUAGGAUCCCACAAGGCUGAAAUCAAGGUGUCCGCCAUGCUGGUCUCUAAUCUGGAGGCUCUGGUAAAAAUCCGCUUCCAGGCCUAUUCAGGUUGUGGGCAGAAUUCAGUUCCUCAAGCUGUGUUUUGGCCAGGGGUCACUCUCAGCUCCUAGAGGCUGCUCUCCAGUCCUUGCACAUGGCUCCCUCAGUCUUCAGGAGACAGCAACAGCUCAUUAAAUCUGGCACAUCGAAUUUUCCAUGUGGAGGAUUUGAAUCUGGCUGACUUUUCCGUCCACUACCAACUGGAGAAAACUGCUUUUCAGGGCUCGUGUGAUUAGAUAUAGCCCAGCAAGAUAGUUUUCCUUUUGAUUAAUUCAAGGUCCACUGAUUAGUAACCUUAACUACAUCUGGAAAAAUCCCUUUUACAUAUAACAUACCCAUGGGCAUAACAUCAUAUCAUAGGGCAGGAAGCCUUGGGGUACUGUUUUAGAAUUCCGCCUACCACAAGUUAGACAAAUUGUUCAAGAGCAGGAGUAGGGAGCAUGUCUUAUUUGACCUUUUAACCCUGUCAGGAUGUAAUGAUAAUGAGGACUGAUUAUUGGUUAUUUAUUAUGUGUAAGUUGUUGUGCUAAGUACAUGAAUUAACUCAUUUAAUCCUUACAUAGCCCUCCUACUAACCCCACUAAACUGUAGAAGACCUGCCCUGGGUCACACUGCAUGUAGUUAAGAGUAUGAAUUCUGGAAUUAGACCUGGAUGAAAUUCUAGCUCUGCCAUGACCUAGUUGUGUGAUUUGGACUGAUUGUUUUUCUAAACCUCAUCUAAGUUUUUGGGGUGUUUUUUUUUUUAAUCUUUAAGAUAAAAAUAGUACUUACCUCAUAGGAUAGUUGUGAUUAUUAAAUAAGAUGACACAUGUAACAAGUAGCCCAGAGCCUGGCAUGUAAGUUCUUACAUUGUUUCUCUAGUGUGGCAUAUAGUAUGUAAGAAAUGUAGAAAGAGAAGGAGAAGAUAUAGCUGAGAUAUAUAUAUAUAUAUGAUGUGUAGAUAUACAGACAUACAUACAUGUAUCUUAAAAGAACUUAUAACCACUGCCCUGUUUUCAUUUUUUGCUUGAUGUAAACAUUUUAGACUUAUCAGUGAAUUUGAUACCUAAAAAUGUGUCCAAAUACUUAUUGUCCAUAUAUUAGAAUCCUAUAUUAAACACUUUUGGGGUUUAUAAAAUUAGAAGAAUACUUAUUCUUGAGAAGUUCACAUUCUGGUUGGUGGGAUCACCCAUAUUGGAGAAUGCUGAGAUGAAUUACUGCUUCAACUUGUCUCCCAUAUACCUAAGUAUAUCUGUAUAGAGACAUUUAAAACAAUCCCUACCUAUCAUCAGUGAACUUAAGAAAUUAGUUGAAAGAUAAAAUAACACAUGAAACAACAGUGGGCAGUAAACAAGUGUAGUCAGUGUAACACAAUUAAGCAUCUAACUUUAAGUGCUAUGACAGAGCAGUGAGGAGUGUGAGAACUUUUACAAAGCAAUUUUUCAACAAGUGCAAAAGGCCUUGUAUCUUUGUACUACUAAAAUAAUGAUCUAAACAGUGCAAAAUUAUAUACUAUGAAUAUCUUGGAUUGACGUCAGAAGGAGUCAUAAUAGGAAGAUUUUUCAAAUCCAGAAGAAUUAAGUAAAAUAGAAGUCAGCUUAUCCAGUAGUUUCCUGGAUGAGUUUAAUUUUACAGCAUCCAAAUCUAAGAGAGGUUAGUAGUCAUGGAAGUUGUGGAAAGGAAUGGAUUGGAUAGGGCAGUGAGCCUAUUGUUGAGGUAAGAAUCAACAAAACAUGUUGUAAAAUGAACAGGUGACGUGACUGAAGUAAACAUGGGCAAUAGGAGAAAGGUAGGAUAUGCUGGACCACGUGCAGGACCUUGAAUGCCAGUUCAAGAAAAUAAGAUGAGUUAAACUAAGAAGGAGUAGUUGGCAUCAGGACUAGAGUUGGCAGAGUUAAUGGGAAGAGCACUCACCUUAUGAGUUGAGGGAAUUGGAUUCUAGUCCUUGGUUUACCAUUAACUAGCCAUGUUGCCUUGGACAAGCUAUUUAUUCAUCUGUUCAACUUGCUUUUCCAUAAAACCACUGGAAUGGCUGUUGGUGUUUGUCGCAAGGUAAUCCAGAGAGCCCUAGGCUUCUGAGUUACUGCCUUUAGAGGUGGCAACCAGUGAGAGUGAUGCCAAGUGAGUGAGCCUCUGGUUCUCCUAAUUCAUUUAGAGCAGCUCCAGAUUGAUCUGUUCUAUGUUUUCACCCCUUAUAUUCUCACCCUUAUAUAUACUACCCAUAAGGUAGUAGUAUAACAAUCAUCAUUUUACAGAUGAGCAGUUUGAGGCACAGACCAUUAAGUAACUUGCCCAAGGUCUCAUGGUGAGUGAGACAGGAUUUGAACCUAAUCGGUCAUGAUCUGAAGUAAGUGCCCAAGCUCUUCAUUGUACUGAUAGUCUCUAAUAAAAAGACUCACUGAGAGUAAGUUUUGCCACACUAGCCUCCAAACUUGUUUUCCCAAGUGAUGUGGUCACUUGCUAUAUCCCUUUGUAAUAAGGCCCCAAGUGAAAUCCAUUUCAUUCACAAUUAUAUCCACCUAAACUAUUCUGGGCAUGAUGUCUGGCCCUGGGAGGCGUUUGGGAGGGGAGCUUUGAGUAUAUGUCAACCUGACUUUACUUCCAGGCUGUGGAAAGCAUUGUAAUAGAAAUAUGAAGGAGAAGAAAAGAUAAAUUCCAUCUGAACACAUCUGGGAGAACUGGAAGAAGUGCUAUUUGAGCCAGGACUUGAAGUGGAGCCUAAUUCCCCUCCCCUUGAAUAUGGACUUAGUGAUUCUCUCCUAAUGAAUAGAAUAUGGUGGAAGUGAUGCUGUAUGACUCGUGAGGCUAGGUCAUAAAAAGGAUAGCUUAUCCCUAAGCACUCUCUCGGAUCACUCAGUUUGAGGGAAGCCAGCAACUACACUCAAACAGUCCUGGAAGAGGCACAUGUGGAGAGGAGCUGAGACCACCCACCAGCCAGCACCAGCUUUUGAGGGAGCCACUUCGGAAGCAGUCCUCAAGCCCAGGCAUGACUGCGACGUGCUGAGAAAUUCCAAGCCAGAACCACCCAGCCAAGCGCCUCCUAAAUUCUUGACCUAUAGAAACGGAUAAUAAGAUAAUAAAUGUUUAUUGUUUUAA